UCAGGCCUAACACAUGCAAGUCGAACGAGAUUAUAGGGUAAGCUUGCUUACCUUAUAUGACAGUGGCGCACGGGUGCGUAACGCGUAUGCAAUCUACCUUAAUCAGGGGGAUAGCCUCUCGAAAGAGAGAUUAAUACCGCAUAACAUUAUGAUAUGGCAUCAUAUUAUAAUCAAACAUUAUGGGAUUAAGAUGAGCAUGCGUGACAUUAGCUAGUUGGUGAGGUAACGGCUCACCAAGGCAACGAUGUCUAGGGGAUCUGAGAGGAUGACCCCCCACACUGGUACUGAGACACGGACCAGACUCCUACGGGAGGCAGCAGUAAGGAAUAUUGGUCAAUGGACGCAAGUCUGAAACAGCCAUGCCGCGUGCAGGAAGACGGCCCUAUGG
rnacentral:rRNA from 1 species